AGUGAACGCUGGCGGUAGGCCUAACACAUGCAAGUCGAACGGCAGCACAGUAAGAGCUUGCUCUUACGGGUGGCGAGUGGCGGACGGGUGAGGAAUACAUCGGAAUCUACUUUUUCGUGGGGGAUAACGUAGGGAAACUUACGCUAAUACCGCAUACGACCUACGGGUGAAAGCAGGGGAUCUUCGGACCUUGCGCGAUUGAAUGAGCCGAUGUCGGAUUAGCUAGUUGGCGGGGUAAAGGCCCACCAAGGCGACGAUCCGUAGCUGGUCUGAGAGGAUGAUCAGCCACACUGGAACUGGGACACGGUCCAGACUCCUACGGGAGGCAGCAGUGGGGAAUAUUGGACAAUGGGCGCAAGCCUGAUCCAGCCAUACCGCGUGGGUGAAGAAGGCCUUCGGGUUGUAAAGCCCUUUUGUCGGGAAAGAAAAGCAGCAGGUUAAUACCCCGCUGUUCUGACGGUACCCAAAGAAUAAGCACCGGCUAACUUCGUG
rnacentral:rRNA from 1 species